GGGGUAUAUAACAAUAUUAUUUCAGCAUUGCACAUUUUGCACAUAGAAGCUCGCUAACUCUACAUGACUUCAAUGUGACUAGACUACUGACCAAAAACUCCCAUGAUAUUAGGAGUUAUGUCUAGCAUAUAAUCCAUUUCAGUAUUCUGAAAGCAUAAAUCUAUGAUAAGCUAACCCUUCACUGGUUAAAGAAUUAAUCAAAUUUUUUUCCUUUUCUUUUUGAAUUAUUUGUUAAUGGAAAAGUUAGUAUACCCAAAACACAAAUAAAAGAAAUAGAAAGUGCCAUCAAGCUGGAUUAACAGAGCAAACAUUUUCUACUUCAAUCCAACUGGAUCCAGGCACCUUCUUCACAUCCCUAUUCUCCAUGAGUUUUCUCAACAUCCUCACGCUUUCCCAAUUCUUAAGACCAGCAAACAUGUUAGACAAUAAAACAUAACUUGAAGGGUCUAUUUGAUCCAAAUCAAUUGCAUGCCUCGCUGCUCGCUUUCCAGUUUCCAUAUCCCCAUGAAGCUCACAAGCACCCAAUAAUGUCUGCCAAACAAGUACACCUUGUUUAAACGGCAUACUCAAGAUCAAUUCCUCUGCUUCCUUAAUAUGCCCAGCACGGCCAAGUAAAUUCACCAUACAUGCAUAGUGAUCUUCUCCCGGGGAGAUUCCAUGGUCUUUAGUCAUGGAGAAGAAAUAUUUCCACCCUUCAUCAAUAAACCCUCCUUGGCUACAAGCAUAAAGCACACAAAUGAAGGUGAUAUGAUUUGGUUCUACAGCCUCCAUCCUCAUCUCAUUAAAAAUCUCCAAAGCUUCUCUAGCUUGACCAUUUUGCGCACACCCCAUAAUCAUGGCUGUCCAUGAAACAACGGAUCGAUUAGGCAUUGAACGGAAAACAAUCCAUGCUUCAUCCAUGCAUCCAGAUUUUGCAUACAUAUCAAGUAGAGCAUUAUCCACACAGACAUCAACCUGAGAACCAAGUUUGAUUCUUAGACCAUGAACUUUUUUUCCAUCCUCCAAGGAAGCCAAGUCCGCACAGGCAUCAAGUGCGGUGGCAAGAGUGAAUUUGUUGGGCCUCAAACCCAUCUUCAGCAUCUCAGUAAUAAGUUCAAGCGCUUUGCCUGGAUCCCCACAAUGUAGGUAAUUAGAAGCCAUCUGAGUAUAAGAUCGCACAUCUGUACAAUUCAUUUCAUGAAAAGCCUCGGAACCAUCAAGCAUCCUCCAGUUCUUCAUAUACAUAUAACAAAGAGAAUUUCCAACACAAGUAUCAGCACCAUGACCACUCUUUAUAAGCUGUGCAUGAACUUGCAAACCAAUGUUGAGAUCAGAAAUAGCAGCCAAUCCACUAAAAACGGUCGCAAAAGUGAAGUGAUCGGGCUUGAAGCCCUCACAAUUCAUCUGAUACCAAAAACUCGGUAAUUGGAAAUAAGAAUGCUUCAAUAACCCAGACAUCAUGGCAUUCCAAGAGACAGUAUCCUUAUUUGGACACCCAUCAAAAACCUCUUUGGCCUCUAACAGCUUUCCAUGCCGUAUCAAAGCAGUUACAAAUGCAUUGACCACAAACACAUUGGAUUCAAAUCCUAAGCGAACGAUAUGCCCAUAAAUUUGGUACAUAUGGAUCGGAUUCUCUGAUAAGGAACAAGCAUGGAGUGCACUAACGACUGUAAACUCGUUGGGGGCUAACAUAGAAUCAUGUUGCAUGCGGGAAAAUAGAAAAAGAGCUUGGUGCGAACAGCCAUGUUGAACAAAACCAGAAAUGAUAGCGGACCAGGAUACGACAUUUCUCUCGCGCAUUUGGUCGAACAGUUUGAGAGCAUAAUUUAGAUGUCCACAUUUAACAUAAAAAUUAAGAAGGUGGUUGUAGAGGUAAAGGGAAGGAAGAAGGGUUUUGAAGAGCUUGGCAUGAAUGGCUCUUCCAUGGAGUAAGUUGCAGGAUUCCAAGCACCUGCGCAAGAGCUUAAUGUAAAGUUGGCCAUGUGAGGCACUAAUAGUACUUAUGGUUUGUGAAUGUGGACUUGAGCUGCGCAUCUGGCCAGCUAGUAACCAUCCAUUUCACCGUUGUAUAUAAAUCUCUCUUUCUUUUCAUACAAAUUAUAGAAAGGAAUCAUUUUAGGAUUUUUU
rnacentral:misc_RNA from 1 species